GUGCCAGCAGCCGCGGUAAUACGGAGGGGGCUAGCGUUGUUCGGAAUUACUGGGCGUAAAGCGCACGUAGGCGGACUGGAAAGUCAGGGGUGAAAUCCCGGGGCUCAACCCCGGAACUGCCUUUGAAACUCCCAGUCUUGAGGUCGAGAGAGGUGAGUGGAAUUCCGAGUGUAGAGGUGAAAUUCGUAGAUAUUCGGAGGAACACCAGUGGCGAAGGCGGCUCACUGGCUCGAUACUGACGCUGAGGUGCGAAAGCGUGGGGAGCAAACAGGAUUAGAAACCCUCGUAGUCC
rnacentral:rRNA from 1 species